GUGCACAAAAAAACCCUUAGUUUAAACCAGCCUAUAAGCAGAGAGUGUUGCCCACUAUAGUCUGUCUAUAAAAACUCUGUAACACCUUUGUUAGGGGCUCAGAGCUUGGAGGGUUAACUCCUCUGGGACGGCUGGUGUAAUAAACCUGUUUUCCAACUCUCUGAGUGUGGUGCUUGGAUUCUCGAUUACUGGUUUCUGCAACAUUUCUGGAGGCUCCAGCAAGAUUCCAACCACACCAGCCCCUUGAGCCGCCAGAAAGGUGGCUUGGCCAGGCUGAAGCAAAGGAAUCCUGAGAUGAAUGAGGAGGCGUGCCACCUGAUGGUAUUCCGGGUUCUCUUUCACACUGGUGUUCCAACUUUCUGGAUGGCCGAAUCCUGACUAGACUCUUUGGAGGAAUGGACCAACCCACCAGGAGUGGCCACAGGAUCAGUUACAGGUGUCAUCCCUUGGAUCCACCACACCAGAGUCAAGAAGGCAGCAGCUUCCUGUGAUGAGGACACCUGGAAAGCAGUUCGGGACCCCAAAGACCUCCUCAAGGACCAACAAGACUCCCUGGCUGAGGUGGUUUUAUAGAAUAGGAGAUGUCUAGAUCUACUGACAGCUGAAAAGAGAGGACUACGCCCCUUCUUAAAUGAAGAGUGCUGCUUUUGUAAGAACUAUAUGCUGCUGCUGCUAAGUCGCUUCAGUCGUUUCCAACUCUGCGACCCCAUAGACAGCAACUCACCAAGCUCCCCCGUUUCUGGGAUUCUCCAGGCAAGAACACGGAGUGGGUUGCCAUUUCCUUCUCCAAGAACUAUAUAUCUACAUACAUUUUUUUCAAGCAAGAUGAC
ensembl:lncRNA